UACGUAGGGCGCAAGCGUUGUCCGGAAUUAUUGGGGGUAAAGAGCUCGUAGGCGGCUUGUCACGUCGGAUGUGAAAGCCCGGGGCUUAACUCCGGGUCUGCAUUCGAUACGGGCUAGCUAGAGUGUGGUAGGGGAGAUCGGAAUUCCUGGUGUAGCGGUGAAAUGCGCAGAUAUCAGGAGGAACACCGGUGGCGAAGGCGGAUCUCUGGGCCAUUACUGACGCUGAGGAGCGAAAGCGUGGGGAGCGAACAGG
rnacentral:rRNA from 1 species